AGUGAACGCUGGCGGUAGGCCUAACACAUGCAAGUCGAACGGCAGCACAGUAAGAGCUUGCUCUUACGGGUGGCGAGUGGCGGACGGGUGAGGAAUGCAUCGGAAUCUACUUUUUCGUGGGGGAUAACGUAGGGAAACUUACGCUAAUACCGCAUACGACCUACGGGUGAAAGCAGGGGAUCUUCGGACCUUGCGCGAUUGAAUGAGCCGAUGUCGGAUUAGCUAGUUGGCGGGGUAAGGCCCACCAAGGCGACGAUCCGUAGCUGGUCUGAGAGGAUGAUCAGCCACACUGGAACUGAGACACGGUCCAGACUCCUACGGGAGGCAGCAGUGGGGAAUAUUGGACAAUGGGCGCAAGCCUGAUCCAGCCAUACCGCGUGGGUGAAGAAGGCCUUCGGGUUGUAAAGCCCUUUUGUUGGGAAAGAAAAGCAGCAGGUUAAUACCCCGCUGUUCUGACGGUACCCAAAGAAUAAGCACCGGCUAACUUCGUG
rnacentral:rRNA from 1 species